rnacentral:rRNA from 1 species
AAUGGGUCAGCGACUUAUAUUCUGUAGCAAGGUUAACCGUAUAGGGGAGCCGCAGGGAAACCGAGUCUUAAUUGGGCGUUAAGUUGCAGGGUAUAGACCCGAAACCCGGUGAUCUAGCCAUGGGCAGGUUGAAGGUUGGGUAACACUAACUGGAGGACCGAACCGACUAAUGUUGAAAAAUUAGCGGAUGACCUGUGGCUGGGGGUGAAAGGCCAAUCAAACCGGGAGAUAGCUGGUUCUCCCCGAAAGCUAUUUAGGUAGCGCCUCGUGAAUUCAUCUCCGGGGGUAGAGCACUGUUUCGGCUAGGGGGCCAUCCCGGCUUACCAACCCGAUGCAAACUGCGAAUACCGGAGAAUGUUAUCACGGGAGACACACGGCGGGUGCUAACGUCCGUCGUGAAGAGGGAAACAACCCAGACCGCCAGCUAAGGUCCCAAAGUCAUGGUUAAGUGGGAAACGAUGUGGGAAGGCCCAGACAGCCAGGAUGUUGGCUUAGAAGCAGCCAUCAUUUAAAGAAAGCGUAAUAGCUCACUGGUCGAGUCGGCCUGCGCGGAAGAUGUAACGGGGCUAAACCAUGCACCGAAGCUGCGGCAGCGACGCUUAUGCGUUGCUGGGUAGGGGAGCGUUCUGUAAGCCUGCGAAGGUGGCCUGUGAGGGUUGCUGGAGGUAUCAGAAGUGCGAAUGCUGACAUAAGUAACGAUAAAGCGGGUGAAAAGCCCGCUCGCCGGAAGACCAAGGGUUCCUGUCCAACGUUAAUCGGGGCAGGGUGAGUCGACCCCUAAGGCGAGGCCGAAAGGCGUAGUCGAUGGGAAACGGGUUAAUAUUCCCGUACUUGGUGUUACUGCGAAGGGGGGACGGAGAAGGCUAUGUUGGCCGGGCGACGGUUGUCCCGGUUUAAGCGUGUAGGUGUGUGUUCCAGGUAAAUCCGGUUCACUUUAACACUGAGGCGUGACGACGAGGCACUACGGUGCUGAAGCAACAAAUGCCCUGCUUCCAGGAAAAGCCUCUAAGCAUCAGGUAACAUCAAAUCGUACCCCAAACCGACACAGGUGGUCAGGUAGAGAAUACCAAGGCGCUUGAGAGAACUCGGGUGAAGGAACUAGGCAAAAUGGUGCCGUAACUUCGGGAGAAGGCACGCUGACAC